UAGAGUUUGAUCCUGGCUCAGGAUGAACGCUGGCGGCGUGCUUAAGACAUGCAAGUCGAACGGAGUGUGUAGCAAUACUCACUUAGUGGCGAAUGGGUGAGUAACACGUAGGUGACCUGCCCUGAAGUGCGGAAUAACAGUCCGAAAGGAUUGCUAAUACCGCAUGUGGUCCCGGGGUUUAGAAAACCGGGUCUAAAGCAGUAAUGCGCUUCAGGAGGGGCCUGCGGUCCAUCAGCUCGUUGGUGGGGUAAUGGCCUACCAAGGCGACGACGGAUAGGGGACCUGAGAGGGUGGCCCCCCACAUUGGCACUGACACACGGGCCAAACUCCUACGGGAGGCAGCAGUCGGGAAUAUUGGUCAAUGGGCGAAAGCCUGAACCAGCAACGCCGCGUGCACGAUGAAGGCCUUCGGGUCGUAAAGUGCUUUUCGGGAGGAUGAGGAAGGACAGUACUCCCGGAAUAAGUCACGGCUAACUACGUGCCAGCAGCCCCGGUCAA
rnacentral:rRNA from 1 species